rnacentral:rRNA from 1 species
UACAGAGGUGGCAAGCGUUGUUCGGAAUUACUGGGCGUAAAGGGCGCGUAGGCGGUUCGUUAAGUCCUGUGUGAAAUCCCCCGGCUCAACUGGGGAACUGCACAGGAAACUAGCGGGCUUGAGUUCGGGAGAGGGAAGCGGAAUUCCGGGUGUAGCGGUGAAAUGCGUAGAUAUCCGGAGGAACACCGGUGGCGAAGGCGGCUUCCUGGACCGACACUGACGCUGAGGCGCGAAAGCUAGGGGAGCGAACUGG